GACCCCACGGGGGUGGAGCUAAACUCAUAAAACCGUUCUCAGUUCGGAUUGUAGGCUGCAACUCGCCUACAUGAAGCUGGAAUCGCUAGUAAUCGCGGAUCAGCAUGCCGCGGUGAAUACGUUCCCGGGCCUUGUACACACCGCCCGUCACACCACGAGAGUUUGUAACACCCGAAGUCGGUGGGGUAACCUUUUUGGAGCCAGCCGCCUAAGGUGGGACAGAUGAUUGGGGUGAAGUCGUAACAAGGUAGCCGU
rnacentral:rRNA from 1 species